rnacentral:rRNA from 1 species
UAGGGAAUAUUGGACAAUGGGGGCAACCCUGAUCCAGCCAUGCCGCGUGAGUGAAGAAGGCCCUCGGGUUGUAAAGCUCUUUUGUCCGGAAAGAAAAGCUUCGGGUUAAUACCCCGGGGUUCUGACGGUACCGGAAGAAUAAGCACCGGCUAACUUCGUGCCAGCAGCCGCGGUAAUACGAAGGGUGCAAGCGUUACUCGGAAUUACUGGGCGUAAAGCGUGCGUAGGUGGUUGUUUAAGUCUGAUGUGAAAGCCCUGGGCUCAACCUGGGAAUGGCAUUGGAAACUGGGCAGCUAGAGUGCGGUAGAGGGCAGUGGAAUUCCCGGUGUAGCAGUGAAAUGCGUAGAGAUCGGGAGGAACAUCUGUGGCGAAGGCGACUGCCUGGACCAGCACUGACACUGAGGCACGAAAGCGUGGGGAGCAAACA